rnacentral:sRNA from 1 species
UCACAAUAAAGCGAUUGAGGGUACGUU